CCAAAUAAAAAAGAGUGAAAAGUGUUUCAUCAAAACGGUUGUCGUGGGGCAUCGUUGCCGCGUUUCGUCCAAAGACGGUCAGAAAGGGUUUCUGUUUACUCAUACCCCACAAACACACACACACACUCUCUCUCUCUCUCUCUCUCUCUCUCUCUCUCUCGACUGUUCUGCUUCUUAGCAGCGAGGACCUUAGAAAUGCUCCAAAAACCUCUAGAUGAUAUUUCUGGGGAAAUUGGAUGCAUGCAGAAAUUGUGCCCCUGAAGGUGAAGGACAUACUGGUCGGAAUCUUUUAGACUCGCGUAAUUUUGGGUCAUUCCUACUGGGUGGUGCCCUAUUGGAGGACAGUUUUGUUUGUCCUUAAUGAAAUGUCAAACUUGGGGCCAUUGGGCCACCGGCAAAACCAAAUUGGCUUUACAAUUUGCGAGCAAUCGGGGGAAGUAGGCUGUACCUUGCUAGGCCUUCCCAAGCUCCCAAAACCACAACCAAUCACUCAAGCCUUCUGCCCUUCGAUUUGCUUUGCUGCCACUGCCUUCUAAUGCCCUCCAAUCAAUGGCACCUUUGAUUUCACUCAGCCAACCAGAUUUAUGACACGUGGCUCUUUUGUGGCCACUGCUAGUGACCCCCCAUGUGAUGAUGUGAAGCAAUAUGCAGGCCCAAUCAUCAGAGGAACAAAGCCAGGUCGCAACGGAUGGAUUGAACAAAUUUCCUUAUCAACGGUGCUUGAUAGAGAAAUUUGAUGUUUAGAAAGUCAUUGGUUUAAUAUGUUUUGUGUUAAUUCAAA